UUGAUGUAGACCUAGUAAGUGAAAAAAUAGACGCAGUGUUUUAUUUACCUUAGGAUGCAGAUAUUUUGGAUUUUUUGGAUCCAUCGUCUUUGGCUCCUGCAAGUGAACAAGACACUAAAAUGAUACAAAGGCUACAAUCAACUGAUAUGGAUUGCCAACCUCCACCUGAGACCACUGCCUGUACCUCUGCGUCCAAACCAGAACCAAAGAGAUUCAGAUGUAUGUCAUCUGAUAUUGCGUUAAAGCAGUUUCAGGAAGCCAGACAUUCUAAAUCUACUAAAAGAAACACAAGAUUUUGAAUUCAACAGUUUCAAGGUAAAACAAUCUGUAUCUUAAACAGAAAUGUGACAGGAUCUUUCUGUUGUACUAAUUAUGACAGAGACAAGAAUGGGGAUUGUAACGUAUGUGCCCCUGGAUACUUUGGGAAACUUUGUGAUACAGUUUGUCCACGUGGAAAAUUUGGUGAAGGCUGUGCUGGGGAGUGCACGUGCUCUCCAAAGGAUUGUGACCACGUGACUGGAUGUCCUCUUAUAAACCAGCUUACAACCACACAGGCA